AGGAAGUUGUUGAGGAAGAACCGGUGGCCACACCCAAAGAGGAGGCCAAGAAGGGAAGGAAGGCAAAAAGUAAGAGGAGUGGCAAGAAGUCAAGGAAGCUGGGCACUGACAACGAUGCAGUCUCCAGGAAUAAACACCUGGAUAGAGGAUCUGUAAUUGAGCUCCUGGAGAAGAAAGCUGUUCAGGCUGCAUUCGGCCCAGGCAACAAGGAUGAGAUGGAAUACUCCUACCCAAUCCUCAU